rnacentral:rRNA from 1 species
UACGAAGGGGGCUAGCGUUGCUCGGAAUCACUGGGCGUAAAGCGCACGUAGGCGGAUUGUUAAGUCAGGGGUGAAAUCCUGGAGCUCAACUCCAGAACUGCCUUUGAUACUGGCGAUCUUGAGUCCGGGAGGAGGUGAGUGGAACUGCGAGUGUAGGAGGUGAAAUUCGUAGAUAUUCGCAAGAACACCAGUGGCGAAGGCGGCUCACUGGCCCGGUACUGACGCUGAGGUGCGAAAGCGUGGGGAGCAAACAGGG